GACGUUGACUCGUGCUCAGGACACGCUGGCGGCGUGCUUAACACAUGCAAGUCGUACGAUGACCCGGCUCUUCGGAGCUGGUGAUUAGUGGCGAACGGGUGAGUAACACGUGGGUGACCUGCCCUGCACUCUGGGAUAAGCCCGGGAAACUGGGUCUAAUACUGGAUACGACCAGUGGCCGCAUGGUCUGCUGGUGGAAAGCCCUUCGGGGUGGUGUGGGAUGGGCCCGCGGCCUAUCAGCUUGUUGGUGGGGUGAUGGCCUACCAAGGCGACGACGGGUAGCCGGCCUGAGAGGGUGUCCGGCCACACUGGGACUGAGACACGGCCCAGACUCCUACGGGAGGCAGCAGUGGGGAAUCUUGCACAAUGGGCGAAAGCCUGAUGCAGCGACGCCGCGUGAGGGAUGACGGCCUUCGGGUUGUAAACCUCUUUCGGCAGGGAACAAGCCUGGGGGGUUUUCUUCUGGGUGAGGGUACCUGCGGAAGAAGCACCGGCUAACUACGUG
rnacentral:rRNA from 1 species